UAGGGAAUCUUCGGCAAUNGNNGGAAGUCUGACCGAGCAACGCCGCGUGAGUGAAGAAGGUUUUCGGAUCGUAAAGCUCUGUUGUAAGAGAAGAACGAGUGUGAGAGUGGAAAGUUCACACUGUGACGGUAUCUUACCAGAAAGGGACGGCUAACUACGUGCCAGCAGCCGCGGUAAUACGUAGGUCCCGAGCGUUGUCCGGAUUUAUUGGGCGUAAAGCGAGCGCAGGCGGUUAGAUAAGUCUGAAGUUAAAGGCUGUGGCUUAACCAUAAUACGCUUUGGAAACUGUUUAACUUGAGUGCAAGAGGGGAGAGUGGAAUUCCAUGUGUAGCGGUGAAAUGCGUAGAUAUAUGGAGGAACACCGGUGGCGAAAGCGGCUCUCUGGCUUGUAACUGACGCUGAGGCUCGAAAGCGUGGGGAGCAAACAGGAUUAGAUACCCUGGUAGUCCACGCCGUAAACGAUGAGUGCUAGGUGUUAGACCCUUUCCGGGGUUUAGUGCCGCAGCUAACGCAUUAAGCACUCCCGCCUGGGGAGUACGACCGCAAGGUUGA
rnacentral:rRNA from 1 species